rnacentral:rRNA from 1 species
UACAGAGGGUGCAAGCGUUGUUCGGAAUUAUUGGGCGUAAAGGGAGUGUAGGCGGCUUGUUAAGUCUUCUGUGAAAUCUACGGGCUUAGCCUGUAAAGUGCAGAGGAAACUGGCGAGCUUGAGUGUCGGAGAGGGUAGCGGAAUUCCUGGUGUAGAGGUGAAAUUCGUAGAGAUCGGGAGGAACACCAGUGGCGAAGGCGGCUACCUGGCUGACAACUGACGCUGAGACUCGAAAGCAUGGGGAGCAAACAGG